UGAGCUUCAGGCCUCUGACCACAUCAAUCAU
rnacentral:piRNA from 1 species